ensembl:lncRNA
UUUUCGAUCGGCCUGUGUCAAUCGAGGUUGAGUUUAGUGAGGGUUGAAAGUUUUCGAUCUAGAUUGCAGAUCGCUAUUGUCACUUUAUACAAACUGAAAGUAUGCGUUGUUGCGUGUUUGUUUUUGUGGGCAUUUGACUGAACAGCCCAGACAAAUAUUGCUACCAACAUGGCACUUCGAAACAGACCACCGCAAUGACUGACAAGAUCUAUGGGGGGGCCCCUUUGGGCCCCCCCAUACCAACUUAGUCUUCAAAGGAAUCUAGUGCCAUGGGACUCCAGUGUCUUCAAAACAUCCUCGGAAAGUGUAUGAAUGGUCCACCGAAGGGUUGAUCUGGAAGCCACCACGGUCCACGCAGUAAUCUGCUGCGUGGGCCGUAGUGGCUUCCAGAGCCAUCUUUCGGUCUUGGUCAGGAUUUGUUACAGUUGCCCUUCAAUGUAGCAGGCUACGGGUUUCUGAAGAAGCCUGCUUUACGUAGAAUUGGAGUACAAAUAUUGUGCAAAAUGCUCAUGUAAUUGCACCAGCACUAGUAACAUGUAGAUUAGCUUAGUUUAACGUCAUUCCGUGCUGUCUCUGUCAAAUGUGUGGCUUACUUUAAGUCCACAAGGCCCUCUGGUAAACCACGUUGGAACACCCCUGGACAAGGUGAUUAGUCACUGGGUGUGUGCUAAAUUUUGUUCCAUUUUUCACUAGUUGGUUAAGGUUUGGUAGAAUUGUUUGGAUGCUAGCGACGUGAUGGCGUAUGUACAAGAGCCUACCGUGGCCAGGCCACAGUUGCGACGGCCAGAUGGCCUAGUGUGAGUGCAACCUUGAUUGCAUUUAUAUACUGUUUACCAUUGGAUGUUUAUGCAAUUUGGCUUAAUUCAUCCGCAGUAAAGCUGCAUUUGACUAUUCCAGGGUCGUUUUGUACAGGCUUUCAAUUGACCAUGUUGACUAGUUUGUGGGAUUUUCUUUAAGUUUUUUUACCCUUGCUUACAAUCCAACGGUUGUGACCACUUAUGCAACUGGGCUGUGAACCUUGCAAUUCUAGUUGCAUAUUUGUAUACGCAAGCUUGUCCAUUUCUAUCGCCAUCACUAACACUAGCUUCAGCAUUUCCUUGUAGGCCAUUAGCUGACUUGUGUAUUGGAGCGAUGAUUUGGGUAUUUUAAGAUGCUUGAAAACCUUAAAUAAAGCAAAAUGCGUGUCUGGUGUGCAAGAGCCAAUUUGUUGGCUUGCAGUAGUCGAGGAGUUGCCGUAGGUCGUAAGCCAUCUGGAGGUUGUGGCAAUGGAGGCUUGUGGUAGAUCUGCCAUCCAAGAAAGGGGGACUUGACUGGUGAGUCUACUGGAUUAAUCAGUAGCGGUACUUUGCCCAACUGAUUUGAUGGCAUGACUACAGGUUGGUGGUUCAACACUGAUGUCUCUCUAGGCUUGAGGGAGAGCUCACAAGUAAAUUACACCAAUGUCCUGGAGGAAUUGGGAAUACACUUUUAUUUAGUCUACCUGACCAGGGACAUCUUUGAACUACAGGUCACCUAACCCAAACUUUUCACUCUUGUUAGGUUGUCCUUUUCUCUUGUUUUAAACCCGAAAGGGCUGAAAUAUCAACAUUUCAGGUAUUCUGUUUGGAUAAUGUGCAAAACUUGUGGCUUCACUAAUAAAAAAAAUUAACAAAUGUAUUUUUCUUAAUGUGGUUAAACUAUUUAAAGAUUUGCAUUCAAAAUGUUUCUGCUCAAUUUGUGGUCAAUGAAACUCUG